rnacentral:rRNA from 1 species
AGUGAACGCUGGCGGUAGGCCUAACACACGCAAGUCGAACGGCAGCACAGUAAGAGCUUGCUCUUACGGGUGGCGAGUGGCGGACGGGUGAGGAAUACAUCGGAAUCUACUUUUUCGUGGGGGAUAACGUAGGGAAACUCACGCUAAUACCGCAUACGACCUACGGGUGAAAGCAGGGGAUCUUCGGACCUUGCGCGAUUGAAUGAGCCGAUGUCGGAUUAGCUAGUUGGCGGGGUAAAGGCCCACCAAGGCGACGAUCCGUAGCUGGUCUGAGAGGAUGAUCAGCCACACUGGAACUGAGACACGGUCCAGACUCCUACGGGAGGCAGCAGUGGGGAAUAUUGGACAAUGGGCGCAAGCCUGAUCCAGCCAUACCGCGUGGGUGAAGAAGGCCUUCGGGUUGUAAAGCCCUUUUGUUGGGAAAGAAAAGCAGCAGGUUAAUACCCCGCUGUUCUGACGGUACCCAAAGAAUAAGCACCGGCUAACUUCGUG